UACAGAGGUCCCGAGCGUUGUUCGGAUUCACUGGGCGUAAAGGGUGCGUAGGUGGCGUGGUAAGUUUGAUGUGAAAGCUCAGGGCUUAACCCUGAAAUGGCAUUGAAUACUACUGUGCUGGAGGUUUGGAGGGGGGACUGGAAUUCUUGGUGUAGCAGUGAAAUGCGUAGAUAUCGGGAGGAACACCUGUGGCGAAAGCGGCGCACUGGACCAUAACUGACGCUGAGGCGCGAAAGCUAGGGGAGCAAACAGG
rnacentral:rRNA from 1 species